AUCCUGGAACCUGCUUCUCCUUUUGUGAUCUUUAAAAAAUGACUUUUUCUCCAUAUAAUAUCAUUAUGUCAGCAUCUAUUCAUCCCCCCUCUCAUCUUCUCACUUGUCAGUUAACAGAUGCUUUUGAUGUUCUAUAAAAGCAACAUCUUUCCAUUGUGACAUCUAAAUCAUCCUUGUUGACUCCCUCUUAGUUCUACCCUCCUCAUAAUCAGUUUGGAUGGAUCUCCCAGCCUCUGGUUUCUCCUCUCUUCCACCUAUUUAUUUCCCAUGUGCCCUGAGAGUUAUUGGUCUGUUCCACCACCUAAUAAGCCCUGCUGGCUCCCCAUGUUAGUCUGUCUUCAGAAUAACAUUCAAAUUCUUUAGCUCAGCAGUAAAUCCCUUCACAAUCUGGUCCUUACCAGCUUCAUCACAGCUUCACCUCCUGCCUCUCGUCUCCCAUGUUACAGUGCAUAUGCACAGACAGAUAGACACACACACAUACACACACACCUGAUGCUUCUACCAUGCCAAUAUUUCCUGGACGUGCCAAACCUUUUCAUGACUUUGUGUGUAGCAUAUUAUUCCUUCUACCUGGAAUGCUCUUUCCUUCUCCCUCAAUUGACAAACUAAACGUUUUAGACACAAGUUUUGAGUGACGCAAUGCCUUGCCCA
rnacentral:lncRNA from 10 species